UCGAGGAUCAUUCGCAAUGGGGGGAACCCUGACGAUGCGACGCUGCGUGGAGGAUGAAGGCCCUCGGGUCGUAAACUCCUGUCAUGAGGGGGUAAGAGAACACGGUAAACAGCCGUUGUUAUUUGACGGUACCUCAAGAGGAAGCCACGGCUAACUCUGUGCCAGCAGCCGCGGUAAUACAGAGGUGGCGAGCGUUGUUCGGAUUUACUGGGCGUAAAGGGCGCGUAGGCGGCGGCGUAUGCCGGGUGUGAAAUCCGUGGGCCCAACCCACGAACUGCGCCCGUAACUGCGUUGCUAGAGUACGGGAGGGGGGAUCGGAAUGCAGGGUGUAGCGGUGAAAUGCGUUGAUAUCCUGCAGAACACCGGAGGCGAAGGCGGAUCCCUGGAACGUUACUGACGCUGAGGCGCGAAAGCAGGGGGAGCAAACAGG
rnacentral:rRNA from 1 species